UACGAAGGGUGCAAGCGUUAAUCGGAAUUACUGGGCGUAAAGGGCUCGUAGGCGGCCAACUAAGUCACACGUGAAAUCCCUCGGCUCAACCGGGGAACUGCGUGUGAGACUGGAUGGCUUGAGUUUGGGAGAGGAAUGCGGAAUUCCAGGUGUAGCGGUGAAAUGCGUAGAUAUCUGGAGGAACACCGGUGGCGAAGGCGGCAUUCUGGACCAAUACUGACGCUGAGGAGCGAAAGCCAGGGGAGCAAACGGG
rnacentral:rRNA from 1 species